rnacentral:rRNA from 1 species
CUCAGUAACACGUGGAUAACUUACCCUUAGGACUGGAAUAACCCCGGGAAACUGGGGAUAAUACCAGAUAAGCCAUAGACGCUGGAAUGCCCUAUGGUUCAAAGCUCCGGCGCCUAAGGAUGGAUCUGCGGUCUAUCAGGUUGUAGUGGGUGUAACGUACCUACUAGCCGACGACGGAUACGGGUUGUGAGAGCAAGAGCCCGGAGAUGGAUUCUGAGACACGAAUCCAGGCCCUACGGGGUGCAGCAGGCGCGAACACUUUACAAUGCGGGAAACCGCGAUAAGGGAACCCCGAGUGCCAGCAUCAAAUGUUGGCUGUCCAGAUGGUUAAAAAUCAUUUGUUAGCAAGGGCCGGGCAAGACCGGUGCCAGCCGCCGCGGUAACACCGGCGGCCCGAGUGGUAGCCGUUUUUAUUGGGUCUAAAGGGUCCGUAGCCGGCCUGAUAAGUCCUUUGGGAAAUCUGACAGCUUAACUGUCAGGCUUCUAAGGGAUACUGUCAGGCUUAGGACCGGAAGAGGUAAGGGGUACUCCAGGGGUAGGAGUGAAAUCUUGUAAUCCCUGGGGGACCAUCUGUGGCGAAGGCGCCUUACCAGAACGGGUCCGACGGUGAGGGACGAAAGCUAGGGGAGCAAACCGGAUUAGAUACCCGGGUAGUCCUAGCUGUAAACGAUGCUCGCUAGGUGUCAGACACGGUGCGACCGUGUUUGGUGCCGCAGGGAAGCCGUUAAGCGAGCCACCUGGGAAGUACGGUCGCAAGGCUGAAACUAAAG